AAAGGUAGCAUAAUCAAUUGACUUGUAAUUGCAGUCUGGAAUGAACGAACAUACGGGCAGCGGCUGUCUCUGAGGUAUUUAGGUUAAUUUGGUUAGUAAGUGCAAAUACUUACAGGAAUAAAAAAGACGAGAAGACCCUAGAAACUUUAGUUAUUUUGUUGGGGCGACAGAAUUACAUUGAACUAAUUUUCAAAUACGUGACACAAAGGCGAAAGAAAAAGUUACUCUAGGGAUAACAGCAUAAUUUUUUGAAGUUUGUGACCUCGAUGUUGGACUAGGUAUUAUAGUCUCUAAAAGAUACUGUUAAGGGCUCUGUUCGAGCAAUUAAACCUACAU
rnacentral:rRNA from 1 species